rnacentral:misc_RNA from 1 species
UCUCCGUAGGUGAACCUGCGGAGGGAUCACUACAGGCUUGCAGAAGCUCUGAAACCACUGUUUAUCUACCUGAAUCUGCUUCGGCGGGCGGCCCCAGGGCGGGGCCGUAGCCGCAAGGCGCCCGCCGAAGACCCCUAAACUCUGUCGUCUUGAGAAUCUCUGAGUAUCAUAUUAAACAGAAAACAACUUUCAACAACGGAUCUCUUGGCUCUG